UCCUCCAAAUUUCACCUGCGCGGCGCCAAAUAUUUCAUCGAUCCCCAAAUUCCCCUCUGCCUCAUCUACUCGUGAUCUUCGCUCCACCUCCCUCAUCUACUCCUGAUUUUUUCCUGAUCUUCACCUCUGCCUCAUCUUCGCCGGACGCACCUCCGCCUCAUCUUCGUCUCCCCUCGUAAUCCUCUGCCACCUCAUCUUUGCGCCGCUCUCAAUCCUCCGCCGUCUCCUCCUCUGCCUCCAUCGAUUCCUUCUUAGCGUUGGUCUUUGCCAAUUCGUAGGUUCGGGUCGUGUUGCUUCUCCGCCUCCUCCUCCACCGCGUGCCUCCACUGUCUCAUCCUUAGGGCUUGAUGAAUAUGUCUGGAGUUCCAUCACGAAGCAAAUCACGUAGAAUUCUACAUCGCGGAGACCUGCAACGUCAGGUGAGAAAGAGUAAGAGAGAACUUGAAUCUGCUACAGAUACACAGCACGGAGACCUGUAGUGUCAGGUGAGAGAGCGUAGGAGAAAACUUGAAUCUGCUCAUGUUGCUACAUCCAUACCUAGCAUUGGGGAGUCUACUCCAGUUAGAGAUAUAAACGCAAAUCAACAAGCACCUACACAAGAAAAUGAUUUACACACAACCCCCCCUUCACACUCCAUACCUUCUAGACAAUCAUCAGGUCAGUAUCUUUCUUCAUUAUCUUUUGGUGAUAAAUGUGCUCUUUGCUAAGAAAUGCUUACAUAAUGCUUCUAUCUCUUACAUAAUUUUAAAAGACUUCUUUACAAGUUCACCUAUUAUUAGCGUCCCAAUUCUGUCUUUUAAUCAUCUUACCCACACAUGUGCACCGGUGUUUGCACAAAUUACUAUAAUCUGCCUGCUCCCUUUAUAAACUUAUGUUAUCCAAUCUAUUUAUUGCGAGAAGUAGAGGGUUGCAUUUUGCAUUGGAAAAUAUUAGGCUGAAUUUAGAUGUUUAUUUAAGAAAAAUGAAUUAGUUUGCUUUGUGUAUACUUAAUUGCUCAUUAUGAUCGCUUUAGUUGUACAGUAAUGGACGUGGCUUGUGUAGCAUAGUUUGAAUUAAAUUUAACAGGUUUAUGCAUCAGCAUUAGCAGCCAUAACUUUCCUUAGAACUAGCACGUUAUCAUGCAUAAAUUUUCCUCAAAACUGAACUAGAAUAUUAUCAUGCAUAAAAUUUCCUCAAGACUAUCACACAUUAUUAGCAUCUUGCAGUGUGAAGCCACGCUAACUAGCUAACUAACUAUGCGAAGUUGAUUGGCAAUGCAUUUGAUAAUCAGAUUAAUGCCAAAAA